rnacentral:tRNA from 1 species
GUUAUGGCUCAGUGGUAGAGCGCUCGCCUAGCACGGGUGAGGCCCUAGGUUCAAACUUCAGAAUAACA